UACGUAGGGGGCAAGCGUUGUCCGGAAUCAUUGGGCGUAAAGAGCGCGUAGGCGGCCCUGUAAGUCCGCUGUGAAAGUCAAGGGCUCAACCCUUGAAUGCCGGUGGAUACUGCAGGGCUAGAGUCCGGAAGAGGCGAGUGGAAUUCCUGGUGUAGCGGUGAAAUGCGUAGAGAUCAUGAGGAAGACCAGUGGCGAAGGCGGGUCUCUGGACAGUUCCUGACACUGAGGCACGAAGGCCAGGGGAGCAAACGGG
rnacentral:rRNA from 1 species